CUGGAUUCGCCCUUAGUUGAUCAUGGCUCAGGAUGAACGCUGGCGGCGUGCCUAACACAUGCAAGUCGAACGAUUCUNUUCGGAGAAGAGCGGCGGACGGGUGAGUAACGCGUGGGUAACCUGCCUCAUACACAUGGAUAACAUACCGAAAGGUAUGCUAAUACAGGAURAYAUAAGAGAUUUCGCAUGGAUUUCUUAUCAAAGCUCCGGCGGUAUGAGAUGGACCCGCGUCUGAUUAGCUAGUUGGUAAGGUAAUGGCUUACCAAGGCGACGAUCAGUAGCCGACCUGAGAGGGUGAUCGGCCACAUUGGAACUGAGACACGGUCCAAACUCCUACGGGAGGCAGCAGUGGGGAAUAUUGCACAAUGGGCGAAAGCCUGAUGCAGCAACGCCGCGUGAGUGAUGAAGGCCUUCGGGUCGUAAAACUCUGUCCUCAAGGAAGAUAAUGACGGUACUUGAGGAGGAAGCCCCGGCUAACUACGUGCCAGCAGCCGCGGUAAUACGUAGGGGGCUAGCGUUAUCCGGAUUUACUGGGCGUAAAGGGUGCGUAGGUGGUUUCUUAAGUCAGGAGUGAAAGGCUACGGCUCAACCGUAGUAAGCUCUUGAAACUGGGAAACUUGAGUGCAGGAGAGGAAAGUGGAAUUCCUAGUGUAGCGGUGAAAUGCGUAGAUAUUAGGAGGAACACCAGUAGCGAAGGCGGCUUUCUGGACUGUAACUGACACUGAGGCACGAAAGCGUGGGGAGCAAACAGGAUUAGAUACCCUGGUAGUCC
rnacentral:rRNA from 1 species